rnacentral:rRNA from 1 species
GACGUAGGGCGCGAGCGUUGUCCGGAUUUAUUGGGCGUAAAGAGCUCGUAGGCGGCUUGUCGCGUCGUCCGUGAAAACCUGGGGCUCAACUCCGGGCUUGCGGGCGAUACGGGCAGGCUAGAGUUCGGUAGGGGAGACUGGAAUUCCUGGUGUAGCGGUGAAAUGCGCAGAUAUCAGGAGGAACACCGGUGGCGAAGGCGGGUCUCUGGGCCGAUACUGACGCUGAGGAGCGAAAGCGUGGGGAGCGAACAGG